rnacentral:rRNA from 1 species
GAUGAACGCUAGCGGGAGGCCUAACACAUGCAAGCCGAGCGGUAUUGUUUCUUCGGAAAUGAGAGAGCGGCGUACGGGUGCGUAACACGUGUGCAACCUGCCUUUAUCUGGGGGAUAGCCUUUCGAAAGGAAGAUUAAUACUCCAUAAUAUAUUGAACGGCAUCGUUUAAUAUUGAAAGCUCCGGCGGAUAGAGAUGGGCACGCGCAAGAUUAGCUAGUUGGUGAGGUAACGGCUCACCAAGGCGAUGAUCUUUAGGGGGCCUGAGAGGGUGAUCCCCCACACUGGUACUGAGACACGGACCAGACUCCUACGGGAGGCAGCAGUGAGGAAUAUUGGUCAAUGGGUGCAAGCCUGAACCAGCCAUCCCGCGUGAAGGACGACUGCCCUAUGGGUUGUAAACUUCUUUUGUAUAGGGAUAAACCUACCCUCGAGAGGGUAGUUGAAGGUACUAUACGAAUAAGCACCGGCUAACUCCGUG